rnacentral:tRNA from 1 species
GGCGGAGUAGCUCAGGUGGUUAGAGCGCACGCCUGAUAAGCGUGAGGUCGGAGGUUCAAGUCCUCCUCGACCCACCA